rnacentral:rRNA from 1 species
AUUGAACGCUGGCGGCAUGCCUUACACAUGCAAGUCGAACGGUAACGGGCCUUCGGGUGCCGACGAGUGGCGAACGGGUGAGUAAUGUAUCGGAACGUACCUUUCAGUGGGGGAUAACGUAGCGAAAGUUACGCUAAUACCGCAUAUUCUGUGCGCAGGAAAGCAGGGGAUCGCAAGACCUUGCGCUGAUUGAGCGGCCGAUAUCAGAUUAGCUAGUUGGUGAGGUAAGGGCUCACCAAGGCGACGAUCUGUAGCGGGUCUGAGAGGGUGAUCCGCCACACUGGAACUGAGACACGGUCCAGACUCCUACGGGAGGCAGCAGUGGGGAAUUUUGGACAAUGGGCGAAAGCCUGAUCCAGCCAUGCCGCGUGUCUGAAGAAGGCCUUCGGGUUGUAAAGGACUUCUGUCAGGGAGGAAAUCCCUAGUGCUAAUAACACUGGGGGAUGACGGUACCGUAAGAAUAAGCACCGGCUAACUACGUGCCAGCAGCCGCGGUAACAC